GACGAACGCUGGCGGCGUGCCUAACACAUGCAAGUCGAACGGAACUGUUUUGAAAGAUUUCUUCGGAAUGAAUUUGAUUUAGUUUAGUGGCGGACGGGUGAGUAACGCGUGAGUAACCUGCCUUCAAGAGGGGGAUAACAUUCUGAAAAGAAUGCUAAUACCGCAUGACAUAUCGGAAUCACAUGGUUUUGAUAUCAAAGAUUUUAUCGCUUGAAGAUGGACUCGCGUCCGAUUAGUUAGUUGGUGAGGUAACGGCUCACCAAGACCGCGAUCGGUAGCCGGACUGAGAGGUUGAACGGCCACAUUGGGACUGAGACACGGCCCAGACUCCUACGGGAGGCAGCAGUGGGGGAUAUUGCGCAAUGGGGGCAACCCUGACGCAGCAACGCCGCGUGAAGGAUGAAGGUUUUCGGAUUGUAAACUUCUUUUAUUAAGGACGAAACUUGACGGUACUUAAUGAAUAAGCUCCGGCUAAC
rnacentral:rRNA from 1 species